GGACUACCAGGGUUUCUAAUCCUGUUUGCUCCCCACGCUUUCGUGUCUCAGCGUCAGUACUCGUCCAGUUGGCCGCCUUCGCCACAGGUAUUCCUCUCGAUAUCUACGAAUUUCACCUCUACACCGAGAAUUCUACCAACCUCUCCGGUACUCGAGCCACGCAGUAUCGGGUGCACUUCCUGGGUUGAGCCCAGGGCUUUCACAUCCGACUUGCGCGGCCGCCUACACACGCUUUACGCCCAGUAAUUCCGAACAACGUUUGCACCCUCUGUCUUACCGCGGCUGCUGGCAC
rnacentral:rRNA from 1 species